GCUGGUGUAGCUCAGUUGGUAGAGCAGCUGAUUUGUAAUCAGCCGGUCGCGGGUUCGAGUCCCAUCGCCAGCUCCA
rnacentral:tRNA from 11 species